CUGGGUGUGGCGCAUUCAGGAAGCGCAUCGGCUUUGGGUGCCGAGGGCCGGAGGUUCGAAUCCUCUCACCCAGACCA
rnacentral:tRNA from 1 species